UUUUGUUACAGACACUGCAGCUGAAUCUUUUCUCUCCUGUGUGAGUUCUCAUAUGUUUCUGUAAAUAUCUUCUCUGUGUAAAAGAUUUCUUACAGACUGAGCAGCUGAAAGGUUUUUCUCCUGUGUGAGUCAUCAUGUGUCUCUUCAGAUGUGACCUUUGGCCAAAUCUUCUCCCACACUCAGAGCAGCUGAAAGGUUUCUCUCCUGUGUGAGUCAUCAUGUGUCUCUUCAGAUCUGACUUGAAGCCAAAUCUUCUCCCACACUCAGAGCAGCUUAAUGUUUUCUUACAUCUU